rnacentral:rRNA from 1 species
GACGGAGGGUGCAAGCGUUAUCCGGAUUUACUGGGCUUAAAGGGUGCGUAGGCGGGCCAUUAAGUCAGUGGUGAAAGCUCCGAGCUUAACUCGGAAACUGCCAUUGAUACUAUUGGUCUUGAAUUCGGUCGAGGUUGGCGGAAUGUGUCGUGUAGCGGUGAAAUGCUUAGAUAUGACACAGAACACCGAUUGCGAAGGCAGCUAGCUAGACCGACAUUGACGCUGAGGCACGAAAGCGUGGGGAUCAAACAGG